UACAGAGGGUGCGAGCGUUAAUCGGAGUUACUGGGCGUAAAGGGCGCGUAGGCGGUCGUAUGAGUGUGGUGUGAAAGCCCCGGGCUUAACCUGGGAAGUGCACCGCAAACGAUACGACUGGAGUAGGUGAGAGGGCGGCGGAAUUUCCGGUGUAGCGGUGAAAUGCGUAGAGAUCGGAAGGAACGUCAAUGGCGAAGGCAGCCGCCUGGCACCAUACUGACGCUGAGGCGCGAAAGCGUGGGGAGCGAACAGG
rnacentral:rRNA from 1 species